CGGUAAUUCCAGCUCCAAUAGCGUAUACUAAAGUUGUUGCAGUUAAAAAGCUCGUAGUUGGAUUUCUGCGGGGACGGAGCGGCCGGACGCAACUUGCGUCUCGAGCUAGCGCUUUCCCCGCAUCCUGCCGCGAACCGUGCUACCAUUAGCUUGGUGGCGCUGGGGAUCGGCUCGAUUACUUUGAGAAAAAUAGAGUGUUCAAAGCAGGCCACACGCCUUGAAUAAGUUAGCAUGGAAUAAUGACUAAGGACUUCGGUUCUAUUUUGUUGGUGUUCGGGAUUGAAGUAAUGAUUGAUAGGGACAGUUGGGGCGGUCUGUAUUCCAAAGCGAGAGGUGAAAUUCUUAGACCUUCGGAAGACAAACAGCUGCGAAAGCGUUCCGCAAGGAUGUUCCCUUUGAUCAAGAACGAAAGUUGGGGGAUCGAAGACGAUCAGAUACCGUCGUAGUCUCAACUAUAAACUAUACCAGCUAGGGAUCGGUCAACGUUUAAUCAUUCGACUUGAUCGGCACCUUAUGAGAAAUCAAAGCAUCUGGGUUCCGGGGGGAGUAUGGUCGCAAGGCUGAAACUUAAAGGAAUUGACGGAAGGGCACCACCAGCCGUGGAGCCUGUGGCUUAAUUUGACUCAACACGGGAAAACUUACCAGGUCCAGACAUAGUAAGGAUUGACAGAUUGAUAGCUCUUUCUUGAUUCUGUGGGCGGUGGUGCAUGGCCGUUCUUAGUUGGUGGAGUGAUUUGUCUGGUUAAUUCCGUUAACGAACGAGACCCCAGCCUGCUAAAUAGCGCGGCUGAGCUUUGCUCGGUGCGAGCUUCUUAGAGGGACUAUGAUGCGCGAUAGCACAUGGAAGUUUGGGGCAAUAACAGGUCUGUGAUGCCCUUAGAUGUUCUGGGCCGCACACGGGCUACACUGGCGCCUGCAACGAGCAUAUCAGCUGGCCCGAGAGGGUCUUGGCUAAUCUUUUGAACCGGCGCCGUGCUUGGGAUUGACCAUUGCAAUUGUUGGUCAUGCAACGAGGAAUGCCUUGUAAACGCGAGUCAUCAGCUCGCAUUGAAUACGUCCCUGCCCUUCGUACACACCGCCCGUCGCUCCUACCGAUGAGUGUUCCGAUGAAAUUUUCGGAGAGCGCCAGAGAACGGGGCUCCGCCUUGCAGAUCUGGAGGCUCAAAGUCACUUAAAUCUGAACAUUUCGAGGAAGGAGAAGUCGUAACAAGGUAGCCG
rnacentral:rRNA from 1 species